rnacentral:rRNA from 1 species
AUUCCUACGGGACGCAGCAGUGGGGAAUAUUGCACAAUGGGCGCAAGCCUGAUGCAGCGGCGCCUCGGCGCGUAAAGCCCUGUCAGCAGGGAAGAAAAUGACGGUACCUGAAGAAGAAGCCCCGGCUAACUACGUGCCAGCAGCCGCGGUAAUACGUAGGGGGCAAGCGUUAUCCGGAUUUACUGGGUGUAAAGGGGGCGCAGACGGCGAUGCAAGCCAGGAGUGAAAGCCCGGGGCUCAACCCCGGGACUGCUCUUGGAACUGCGUGGCUAGAGUGCAGGAGGGGCAGGCG